AUCAGAGUAUUUUUGUUUUUGAUUUUCUUUUCGUUGUUUUGUAAUUGGGGUGGGUGAGGGAGCAGUUUGGUUAUGGGUGAGUUUGACGUUGGCACCAAUUGUUGUCAUUUGAUUUAUGUGUACAACAUUUAAACUGGACAGACUAAAUCAUUCUUGUUCAAUAUUUGAGGCCAUAUAUAAAUCUUUGUAUAUUCCUCGGCACUAGGAAUUCGAAGAAAUCUUGUGUUCCUGACCAAUUUCUCCCAUUAAUAUUUAUUAUUUAAUGAUACAAAGACAGAAUAAAAUGGAGAUCGAGUUUCAAUCCGUUUAAAUCUCCGCCAUCCGAUGUUCUAGAGAAUGGGUUGAUCACAGGCUUGCCAUGUGAAUACAUGUCUAAAUAAUAAUUUUUAUAACUUUUGAAGCUAAUAUAAAGACCUGUAAUAAACAGAUUUAACUCCAACAUAAUGCAUCUUUAAAUAUAGAAAUCGGGUUUGCCGGCACGUGUCUAUAUAUAUAAGCCUGGAUUUUCCAGUUAAAAAUAGACCUGACGUGUUGUUUGUUAAGGGGAUGGACAGGGUUAGUAGAACGAGGAAUAGCUGAACAAUUGUUUAACAGAUCAAGACAAGAUAAAUACUAAUAUAUAGCAACCAAUCAUUUUAUUAUACCAACCCCUGAUACAACUAGGAAGUAAAUUAAACUGUAACGUCGCCAUUAAAUUGUUGAAAUAAAAGACUCUAUAGAGAGGAUUAUUAUCAUAUUGAAGCCUGUGUCAAUAAACUAAUAUAAAGACCUGUAAUAAACAGAUUUAACUCCAACAUAAUGCAUCUUUAAAUAUAGAAAUCGGGUUUGCCGGCACGUGUCUAUAUAUAUAAGCCUGGAUUUUCCAGUUAAAAAUAGACCUGACGUGUUGUUUGUUUAGGGGAUGGACAGGGUUAGUAGAACGAGGAAUAGCUGAACAAUUGUUUAACAGAUCAAGACAAGAUAAAUACUAAUAUAUAGCAACCACUCAUUUUAUUAUACCAACCCCUGAUACAACUAGGAAGUAAAUUAAACUGUAACGUCGCCAUUAAAUUGUUGAAAUAAAAGACUCU